CCCUUAGAUGUUCUGGGCAGCACGCGCGCUACAAUGGUCUUCGCAAACGGAUGCAUUUUCGAAGGAGAAUACCAAUCUUGGAAUCUAUGCCUUGGUCGGGACAGUUGCUUGCAAUUUUUCGACUCGAACCAGGAAUUCCUUGUAAUCGUGAUUCAUCACAUCACGAUGAAUACGUCCCUGCCCUUUGUACACACCGCCCGUCGCUCCUACCGAUCGAAGAGUUAGGUGAAUUGUUUUGAUCGAUAAGAUUUGACUAUGGUCAACUCUCGUUGUGAAAUUCUGUGAAUCUGACUGUUUAGAGGAAGGAAAAGUCGUAACA
rnacentral:rRNA from 1 species